UACGGGGGGGCAAGCGUUGUUCGGAAUUACUGGGCGUAAAGAGUGCGUAGGCGGUUUUCUAAGUUUGGUGUGAAAUCUCCCGGCUUAACUGGGAGGGUGCGCCGAAGACUGGAAGGCUUGAGUAUGGGAGAGGUAAGCGGAAUUCCUGGUGUAGCGGUGAAAUGCGUAGAUAUCAGGAGGAACACCUGCGGUGUAGACGGCUUACUGGACCAUCACUGACGCUGAGGCACGAAAGCGUGGGUAGCAAACAGG
rnacentral:rRNA from 1 species